UACAGAGGGUGCAAGCGUUAAUCGGAAUUACUGGGCGUAAAGCGUGCGCAGGCGGUUCGUCGUGUCCGAUGUGAAAGCCCCGGGCUCAACCUGGGAAUGGCAUUGGAAACUGGCGGGCUUGAGUGUGGCAGAGGGGGGUGGAAUUCCGCGUGUAGCAGUGAAAUGCGUAGAGAUGCGGAGGAACACCGAUGGCGAAGGCAGCCCCCUGGGCUAACACUGACGCUCAGGCACGAAAGCGUGGGGAGCAAACAGG
rnacentral:rRNA from 1 species